UACGAAGGGUGCUAGCGUUGUUCGGAAUUACUGGGCGUAAAGCGCGCGUAGGCGGCCAUUCAAGUCAGAGGUGAAAGCCCGGAGCUUAACUCCGGAACUGCCUUUGAAACUGUAUGGCUUGAGUGUCGGAGGGGAUAGUGGAAUUGCUAAUGUAGAGGUGAAAUUCGUAGAUAUUAGCAGGAACACCGGUGGCGAAGGCGGCUAUCUGGACGACAACUGACGCUGAGGCGCGAAAGCGUGGGAUCAAACAGGG
rnacentral:rRNA from 1 species